rnacentral:rRNA from 1 species
GAUGAACGCUGGCGGCGUGCCUAAUACAUGCAAGUCGAGCGAACAGAUGAGGAGCUUGCUCCUCUGACGUUAGCGGCGGACGGGUGAGUAACACGUGGAUAACCUACCUAUAAGACUGGGAUAACUUCGGGAAACCGGAGCUAAUACCGGAUAAUAUAUUGAACCGCAUGGUUCAAUAGUGAAAGACGGUUUUGCUGUCACUUAUAGAUGGAUCCGCGCCGCAUUAGCUAGUUGGUAAGGUAACGGCUUACCAAGGCAACGAUGCGUAGCCGACCUGAGAGGGUGAUCGGCCACACUGGAACUGAGACACGGUCCAGACUCCUAGGGGAGGCAGCAGUAGGGAAUCUUCCGAAAUGGGCGAAAGCCUGACGGAGCAACGCCGCGUGAGUGAUGAAGGUCUUCGGAUCGUAAAACUCUGUUAUUAGGGAAGAACAAAUGUGUAAGUAACUAUGCACGUCUUGACGGUACCUAAUCAGAAAGCCACGGCUAACUACGU